rnacentral:lncRNA from 1 species
GUAGGGCGCUCGCUCUUCGCUGGGCCGAGUCCCCCCGCGCGCUGCAGAGCAAUACAGUUCUGUAAAAGUUUAUUAUUCUGACGUUGGAAUAUGCUCCUUGGAGACAAUUCAGAACUUGCAGAAACCAGAGCCCCGCGGCCCCUCCCUGCGUAGACUGCGGGCGGCUGUCCCGGGCGUGGGCUGCGGCCCCGCGGGCCCAUGCGUGUUCUGGGGACUCUGGGGCGCUGGUUCAGUCCCGCGUGUGUGGGAGUCACGUUCACCUCCUCAGUGCCAGGUGCUGUCCGCGCACCCGUCGGAGCGCCUCGGUUCACCGUGCAGAGGUGUGGGCUCCGGGGCAGGGAAGGGUCCACCCCACCUCCCGCGCUGCAGCGAGCUUGACAGGUACGCUGUCAGGAGAAAGGCUGUGAAGCACCA